UAAGUGGUUUGAAAGUCCUAAAGGGCAAGAGGUGAUGUGUGCGUUUCCAAGGGCAGAGAAAUGGCUGGUUACACAAGCUUCUGAUAAGAAAGUUCACAAGAACACGUCUAUCCUGUUCCUGCACAGGGGCAGCUCAGGAAUGUCAGAAGAGCCAUUCUUGGAAUGGCAAAGGGCACUUCCUUCAAAUUCUACAGAUGAGAAGGUCCCUGUACAGCCACUGGCAUGGCUUUGGCUGGUUUCAUAUCAGGAGUCACUUUUUUAACACAGCAUGGAAUAGCCACUGGCCCUCACUAAUGGCCUUGUGAUCUCCCUGGGGGUUUUGCACCUUCAUCUGCCACACCUUUGGGUUAGCCAUACCGUCUGGCUUCAAAUUGGACAGCUGUACACUUUUCCAGGAUUCAAGCCAAAAUUUUUUUUUAAUGCUGAUUUGCUAAUUGGAUGCCAGGAACUGAGGAUCCAACUGAAUCUUAGUACGUGAGUCUUUAGAUGGUGUGUUUUUUUCUGAGCGGCUAUCAUUUGAUGGUACAUGAAUUUUCCACUGGGUCAGUUGGAAAUGUUUUCUUUGUAAGUUAAUUGUCUGCUGUAAGAUCCUGCAGAUUUCCAGAGCCUAAGAGCCAUGUUGGAUUCAUUUUUCCCAUUCCUAAGCUGGAAGAACUUAAUUUUAAAAUCAAGGGACAUUUUUUUUUUCUUAGAAAGAAGCCUAAUGGUCAUCUAUAUGUUUUGCUAUAAAUGACAGUGAAAAGAAAUGAACAAAAUCUUGAAAAUCUGAUAAUGUGUUCUGUGUUAAAGUUAUUGUCAUUAUUAAAACAACUAGGUCUGGAAGAAUUUAAAGUGAACAAACCCACUUACUUGUCACCAGGGAACAUGGAUAGUCUUACUGUGUUGUGUGAGCACACUGUGAGCCUCCAGCCUUGGGACUGCUAUGGUUUGUGAGCACAAUGUGAUCCUCUAACCUUGAGACAGGAGAUCAAAGGCAGAAGGCUGAAGUUCUGCAGAGCCUUCUCCCACCCUUCUCUCCUUUGGGUCCUGUGAAGAGGAACUGUCUAUUUAAUUACAACAUGCAUAAUAGAUGGACCUUGACAGUUACAGAGGGUCCCAAAGAAGUAGGCUCCAAUGCCAAUGAAGGAACAGAUGUUCCAGCAAGGCGAAGGCAAGCGGGUAAAGAGCAACAGCUUCCUUCUUCUAUGUCCUUAUAUGGACUUCCAGCAGAAGGUAUGCUCAUAUUAAAGGUGUGUCUUCCCUUCUCAAGAUUUGGAUUAAAGGCCUGCAUCUUCCUGCUUCAAGAUCCAGAUCAAAGGUGUGUCUUCCUACUUCAAAAGUACAGACUAGAAAUGGAUUCACCCUCACAGGUGUGAGAUUUUCCACUUCUGGAUAGCAGUUCAUUUCUGAUAAAGUCAAGUAGACAGCCAAGAAUAGCCAUCACACUUCCCAACUGAAAAACAGGGUGAGGCCUUCUUGACCAUGAAGUCAAUAGUCGUACAUAGUUUGCCAGGCCACCAGUGUUCACUGAGUGUCAAUUCUGCUCUCCAGUCAUCCUGGUUGUUCUCUGUAUCUACUCAUCUUGUGCUACUCAUUGCCAACUAAGUGUUCAUUCCCAAAUAUUAAAGUGACUUUGGCCAAUUACAGAGCUGAUGCCUAGAAAGGAAAAGCUGUACUGUGAAGAGUCACCAGGCACACUGGCAUUUCUGCUUCAAUCCCUCUGCCAGCAGGCAAAGACAAAGAGGCCAACCUGCAGCCUGAGUGCAGCUGCAGCACCUACCUCCUUGCUAAUGGAAUCUAUAGUGCUACUUUCUGACUUCUCAUGGGAAUAGAAGUCCAUUGACACUGACCUCUGCUUGUCUUUUCUCUUUGUGACUCGGGAUAAAUUUCUAGGCUAAGAAAAAACAAUUAGAGGGCAUACUCAAUAAGCAGGCAGGUACAGUAGCCACCCUUACCAUCAAUCACCCUGGCAACAGGUGCUUGAGAUUUCAGAUAGUGUCAAGACUUAUCUAUAUAUCUAUAUCUAUAUCUAUAUCUAUAUUUUUUCCUAUAUAUGUAUAGUAAAUCUUAAGUA